rnacentral:rRNA from 1 species
CCUACGGGAGGCAGCAGUGGGGAAUAUUGGACAAUGGGCGAAAGCCUGAUCCAGCCAUGCCGCGUGUGUGAAGAAGGCCUUCGGGUUGUAAAGCACUUUCAGUGGGGAAGAAAGCCUUGGGGCUAAUACCCUCGAGGAAGGACAUCACCCACAGAAGAAGCACCGGCUAACUCCGUGCCAGCAGCCGCGGUAAUACGGAGGGUGCGAGCGUUAAUCGGAAUUACUGGGCGUAAAGCGCGCGUAGGCGGUCUGAUAAGCCGGUUGUGAAAGCCCCGGGCGCAACCUGGGAACGGCAUCCGGAACUGUCAGGCUAGAGUGCAGGAGAGGAAGGUAGAAUUCCCGGUGUAGCGGUGAAAUGCGUAGAGAUCGGGAGGAAUACCAGUGGCGAAGGCGGCCUUCUGGACUGACACUGACGCUGAGGUGCGAAAGCGUGGGUAGCAAACAGGAUUAGAUACCCUGGUAGUC